GGGGGGGCCUUUCGGGAGGCAGCAGUAGGGAAUCUUCCGCAAUGGACGAAAGUCUGACGGAGCAACGCCGCGUGAGUGAUGAAGGUUUUCGGAUCGUAAAGCUCUGUUGUUAGGGAAGAACAAGUACCGUUCGAAUAGGGCGGUACCUUGACGGUACCUAACCAGAAAGCCACGGCUAACUACGUGCCAGCAGCCGCGGUAAUACGUAGGUGGCAAGCGUUGUCCGGAAUUAUUGGGCGUAAAGGGCUCGCAGGCGGUUCCUUAAGUCUGAUGUGAAAGCCCCCGGCUCAACCGGGGAGGGUCAUUGGAAACUGGGGAACUUGAGUGCAGAAGAGGAGAGUGGAAUUCCACGUGUAGCGGUGAAAUGCGUAGAGAUGUGGAGGAACACCAGUGGCGAAGGCGACUCUCUGGUCUGUAACUGACGCUGAGGAGCGAAAGCGUGGGGAGCGAACAGGAUUAGAUACCCUGGUAGUCCACGCCGUAAACGAUGAGUGCUAAGUGUUAGGGGGUUUCCGCCCCUUAGUGCUGCAGCUAACGCAUUAAGCACUCCGCCUGGGA
rnacentral:rRNA from 1 species